ensembl:lncRNA
GGCUCCUCUUGUGGAGCACAGGCUCCAGAGUGCGCCGGCUCAGUGGUUGCGGUGUGUGGGCUCUCUAGUUGCAGCAUGCAGGCUCCUCUUGUGGAGCACAGGCCCCAGAGUGCGCCGGCUCAGUGGUUGCGGUGUGUGGGCUCUCUAGUCGCGGCGUGCAGUCUUAGUUGCCCUGCAGUAUGUGGGAUCUUAGUUCCCUGACCAGGGAUCAAGACUCUGUCCUCUGCAUUGAAAGGUAGAUUCUUAACCCCUGGACCACCGGGCAAGUCCCUGCAUUUCUAUAAGUGAAUGAAUUUCUAUUACAAAUCUCAGGUAUGAGAGGAACCCUGAUUCUGUGACAGACAGAAUUAAAAUAUGGCUUGUUGGUAUAGAACCUGAUAAGGAGGUUUAUGUGCUACAGAAUCAUAUAUCAAAUUAAAAACUAGUUUAUGAGAGCUGUUGAAAUAAUAUUCUGAAUAGUUCUCCCAAAUUUAUCCAACCUAGUAGUUUUCUGUAAUGAAAUAGGAAUUGUUUUAUAGACCAGCCCUUAUGUGUAUCUACUUUAUUCCUGAUUGGUUAAAGAUUUUGAUGAAUGAGACAAGCUAAUACUGUUCAUUGCCAUUUUUGUGUUUAUAGACAUGGAUGGUUUUCCUUUACCUUAAGUUUUUAGAUCAGACAGAACCAAGUUUAAAUCCUGGCUCAGGUAUCUUAGGCAAGAUACUAGGAAUUCCUAGUUCAUACAGUUGUUGGAAGGAUUAAGUAACGUAUUGUAUAUAAGUGGUUAUCAGAAAGCCUGACAUAUAAGGAUUCAUUAUAAAUAUUCAUAGGCAUUAUUUAUAAGCAUUCAUUUAAAUAUUAGUAUUUGCAAAAGGAUGUUCUCUUCUGUUUACUUGUCAGCGUUCUAUUUGAUUAUCUCUGUUUAUCUCCUGUAGUACACUGGACCAGUAUACUCAGGAAAUAGUUUAUAAUCUUUUUGUAGAUAUUAACAGCUCAAAUUAUGCUUUUUUUCCCCCUAGUGUUUUACUUUACAUGUUCUAGCACUUUGGAUUAUUUUGCCUUUUCAUACAAUAGAGAAAACCACCAGUAAAACCUCUGUCCUCCCAUCAUUCUGACAUUCAUGGAAACUUACUAGUGUUAGUGAACUUGGCAGAUUUCCUGAUGUUGCUUUUAUAGUUAUUUAGAAGAUACAAAAUAAGACCAGUCCCAGUGUCUUUCCUUUCAUCCAUUCAGUAGUUAGUAAAUGCCUACCACCUCCAGAAACUAUGCUUCAUACUGGGGAUAUAUGACAUCGCUGUUGCUCUCACAGUUUUCACAGGCUAGUGAAGGAGACGGGCAAAUCAAGAAAUGAUUGCAGCAGCAAUAUAUAAACCCCUAGGAAUCAGUACUCAUUUCUGUUUGGAUGAACUGGGAGAAGCUUAACAGAGUAUGUUCCUUGAGCUUGGAGAGAUAAAGAUGAAUUUCAUAUACAGACAAAAGAUAGCAUGUGCCUAAAGGUUCAGAUACAUGAAACAAGGUCAUGUAUUCAGGGACUGUAAAAUAGUAUGAACAGAAUCUGGGAAAUAAGGCUGGAGCUCAAAUUAGCAAUACUUAGAUGGCCUACUAAAAGACUAGAUUUAGCUCUGUGGGGUCACACAGAGUCGGACACAACUGAAGUGACUUAGCAGCAGGAGAAGCAAAGGUCAGUUAUUGAAGAAUUAGGGAAAGAUGAUAAGUAUUUGAGAAAAUUCCACUAGCAGUGUGAUGGUGAGAAUAGGGAGUGAGAUUGGAGGCACCAAGGCUAAUCAGAAGACUCAAGCUGAGUAAUACUCCUGAGUUCCUACUUGUGCCAGGCAAUGUAGUAAGCAUUUUGUACUGGUUAGCUCACUUAAACCUUAAAAAAAAUAGGAGGCAGGUAUUGUUCCUGUUUAACAGCUUGAGAAUCAUAAUUUUCCUCUGGUCACAUAGCUUGUGAGUGAGAAAAAUAGGCAUUCAGGCCCAGGUAUGUCUAACAAAGUGCUUGCUUCAGAUCAGUAUAACAACUGGAAAGAAGUGAGGACAGUGAGGACAGCAGCAGUUAAGUAUUAACAUGAAGAAGAGAGCCAAGGAUACAAGAAAUGUUAGGCAGAUAGCACCUCCAUCAACAAGACAUGAAGGUUAGCAGUGAUGCGCAGGGUUUUGGCAAAAAAAAACUACCUUUAACAUUAUCAUUAAACAGGGUCAAGAAUUGAGAGGGAGAAAUUGAGGGAAAAAGAAAGAGGUCUUUUCAGUCAUGAAUUUUAGGCAUAUAACAUAACGUGUAGUGGGCAGCUAGGUAUGAGUCUAAAACUUACAAGAAAAGUGACUUGAAGAGUGAGCCAUGAGUGGUAUGACUUGACAAGACUGUUCAAAGAGAAUAAGAAAAGGGGGUAGAGGAAGAGAAGCUAGUGAAAGAACCUAGUAGUCAAGAAGCUAGACUUUGAAAAUAAUAGUUUUGAGGAAUCAAGGGUUUUCAAGGAUUGGGGUCAAUAAGUUCAAAAUCAAGACGCGAUAAUUCACAUCAAUCUAGUUGUUAACAUUUUGGAAUAAGUCUGGAUAUCAAAUGUUGGCUAAGAUGUUGAAAAACAACAGAGGAACUCUCAGGUAUCCUGUCUUUGAGUGUAUAGAUUGGUAUAAUCAUUAUGAGGGCAACAUUCAUUUACUAAAAUGAAACGUGCAUAAACCAGCUAUUCUGAUAGGAUACCUGUAUCUAUAGAUCUAACUCUUGAUAUAGAUCUCUGUGUCUGUAGAUAUAUAGAGAUAUGCCCUGUAAACAUUCCCACACAUUUGCCAGAUACGUGCAAGGAUGUUCAUUGCAGUAUUGUUUAUAAUAAUGAAACUUGGAAAUAAAAUGUAAC